rnacentral:lncRNA from 1 species
CCGAGAAGGCAAUGGCACCCCACUCCAGUACUCUUGCCUGGAAAAUCCCAUGAAUGGAGGAGCCUGGUAGGCUGCAGUCCAUGGGGUCGCUAAGAGUCGGACACGACUGAGAGACUUCCCUUUCACUUUUCACUUUCAUGCAUUGGAGAAGGAAAUGGCAACCCACUCCAGUGUUCUUGCCUGGAGAAUCCCAGGGAUGGGGGAGCCUGGUGGGCUGCCGUCUAUGGGGUCGCACAGAGUCUGACAUGACUGAAGUGACUUAGCAGCAGCAGCAGAAUACAUGCAACAACAUUUGGUGAAGAUCUUGACUGUUCUUCAUUAAUGGGAUUGGGAAUCUAGUUGGCUGAAUCCUGAUUAUAAUAUCAUGUUAGAGUUGGAACAUGCAGAAUGGAUCUUUUGGUCUAACUUGAACUGUACAAAUGUUAGAGUUACUACCUUAUAGGGCCUCACAUGGUAUUUAGCACAAAGUAGAAGUUCCAUACAUAUUUAAAAUCUUGAAACAAUAAGGACAAUGAGAGUUAGAGCAGUGAUGUUGAGCAAGGUGAUCUAAUUAGUGAGCAGAUCUGACUCCUAAACAUUUGCUUCUACACUGAAUUCUAUCAAAUAUUCUCCUCCCAGGUGACCACGCCAACCCCCACUCCCACCCUCGCCAUGUUGGCUCCCAGGUUAAGCAUGACGUCCUCACCUCGGCAUUCAUCAAGUCUGCCGGGUCCCAGCUCCCUCUUCUCCUUUAUAUUACUUAGAUGUACUUGUACUCUAGUCCACAUGUUCUUUUGAUCUACCCUCAUGGUUCCUAUUUUUUUCUGCCUUUGCUCAAGCUGUUUCCUUCAUAUUGACAAACUUUUCUACCCACCUCUCCUUUUCAGAAUCUCAUCUGCCUUUUAGUGAGAUUAGGGGCGAAUCCACAGAGAUGUUGGAGGACUGGGCGCUACUAUAGUUAAAAGAAGUUGAUAACAAACAGCAAAAUGUCCUGGUGGGUUCCAGAAGAAUGGCAGAAGUAUGUCCUUGGAUACCUUCAGCCAGUUUCACCUACCGUUUGUUGCACCUUGUCCUGGAGCCACAACUCAGAUCUGCCUGGAAGAUGAGCGGCUGAAUGAUAAACAGUCAGAGGGAUGCAGGUUCCUCCAGAUUCAUAGAAGAACAAUAGGAAGGACCAAGGACAAGAAGUACUGUUCCCCUGAAGAGAAAUUCUCUAAUGGCUACAGAUGGGGCUCAAGAACAAGGAGAUGCAAUUGCAACCAGGAUGUCUUGUGGAUAAGAGGCACAGAUUCCAUGGAGUCAAAGGGACUUCAGUACAUCCGUCAAGCGAAUAUCAUAGCCUGGAGUGUGAAUAUGUACUGAUCGAAACCUAUUUUUUAUGAAGGACUCUGUCAUUAAAAAAGUGUAUCACUUUCCAAUUUUAUAUUUCAAAUUAAAAGCUUUAUUCUCACAUGUCUAUAGUAAGAAGUAUAAAAUACAUUCCAGAGAACUGCACAUACACAAAAUACACAAAUACAC